AGUGAACGCUGGCGGUAGGCCUAACACAUGCAAGUCGAACGGCAGCACAGUAAGAGCUUGCUCUUACGGGUGGCGAGUGGCGGACGGGUGAGGAAUACAUCGGAAUCUACUUUUUCGUGGGGGAUAACGUAGGGAAACUUACGCUAAUACCGCAUACGACCUACGGGUGAAAGCAGGGGAUCUUCGGACCUUGCGCGAUUGAAUGAGCCGAUGUCGGAUUAGCUAGUUGGCGGGGUAAAGGCCCACCAAGGCGACGAUCCGUAGCUGGUCUGAGAGGAUGAUCAGCCACACUGGAACUGAGACACGGACCAGACUCCUACGGGAGGCAGCAGUGGGGAAUAUUGGACAAUGGGCGCAAGCCUGAUCCAGCCAUACCGCGUGGGUGAAGAAGGCCUUCGGGUUGUAAAGCCCUUUUGUUGGGAAAGAAAAGCAGCAGGUUAAUACCCCGCUGUUCUGACAGUACCCAAAGAAUAAGCACCGGCUAACUUCGUG
rnacentral:rRNA from 1 species